rnacentral:lncRNA from 1 species
CCUAAUACGCUAGCAAUUCUGCUUAGAGAUCUCAUACCCCAGCAAGACAUUGGAAGUUUCGGAAACUUUACCCAUAAUGGAAUAUCAGUCGGGAACUCUUCUGAAAAAUCGAAGUCAGGAGUCCAUUACUUGAGUAUCAUAGGCCUAUUGGCUAUUGAGUAAGGUCCUGCACAUAGUAUCUCUUUGGCGUUAGAAAUUGUUUUGAAUUUCACUAUGUAAUAUCCUUCUUCAUGGUAGAAC